rnacentral:pre_miRNA from 1 species
CACUGGAGGCAGCGGUUCAUCGAUCCGUUCCCUGGAAGCUGAAUAUAUAUAUACGCAAAAAUACAGCAAAAGGAAUCGGUCGAUAAACCUCUGCAUCCAGU